AUUGAACGCUGGCGGCGUGCCUAACACAUGCAAGUCGAGCGGCAGCGCGGGAGCAAUCCUGGCGGCGAGCGGCGGACGGGUGAGUAACGCUUGGGAAUCUGCCUGUUAGUGGGGGACGAACCCGGGAAACGUCGGGCGUAAUACCGCAUACGCACUACGGUGGAAAGCCGGGGACCGCAAGGCCUGGCGCUAACAGAUGAGCCCAAGUCGGAUUAGCUAGUUGGUAGGGUAACGGCCUACCAAGGCGACGAUCCGUAA
rnacentral:rRNA from 1 species